rnacentral:misc_RNA from 1 species
GAUGAAGAACGCAGCGAAAUGCGAUAAGUAGUGUGAAUUGCAGAAUUCAGUGAAUCAUCGAAUCUUUGAACGCACAUUGCGCCCCUCGGUAUUCCGUGGGGCAUGCCUGUUCGAGCGUCAUCUACACCCUCAAGCUCUGCUUGGUGUUGGGCGUCUGUCCCGCCUCCGCGCGUGGACUCGCCCCAAAUUCAUUGGCAGCGGUCCUUGCCUCCUCUCGCGCAGCACAUUGCGCUUCUCGAGGGGCUACGGCUCGCGUCCAACAAGCACAUUUACCGUCUUUGACCUCGGAUCAGGUAGGGAUACCCGCUGAACUUAAGCAUAUCAAUAAGAGGAGGA